GACGAACGCUGGCGGCGUGCUUAACACAUGCAAGUCGAACGAAGUGGCGAACGGGUGAGUAAGGCGUAAACAACCUGCCCUUCAGAGGGGGACCACAGUUGGAAACGACUGCAAAUACCGCAUACUGUAGGGGGGGAUUGCGUUGGAUUAGCUAGUUGUAGGGGUAACGGCCCAACAAGGCGAUGAUCAGUAGCCGGUCGUGGAGGGUGAACCGCCAACUAGGGACCUAGACACGGCCCAGGCUCCUACGGGAGGGAGCCGGGGGGAAUCUUCCGCAAUGGGCGAAAGUCUGACGGAGCAACGCCGCGUGAGUUAUGACGGCUUUCGGGUUGUAAAGCUCCGUUUAUCGGGACGCGGUACCGGAAUAGAAAGCCACGGCUAACUACGUGCCAGCAGCCGCGGUAAUAC
rnacentral:rRNA from 1 species